rnacentral:rRNA from 1 species
UACGUAGGCACCAAGCGUUGUCCGGAUUUAUUGGGCGUAAAGAGCUCGUAGGCGGUUCGGUUAGUCGGGUGUGAAAACUUUGGGCUCAACUCAAAGACUGCACCCGAUACUGCUGUGACUUGAGUCCGGGUAGGGGAGUGGGGAAUUCCUGGUGUAGCGGUGGAAUGCGCAGAUAUCAGGAGGAACACCGGUGGCGAAGGCGCCACUCUGGGCCGGUACUGACGCUGAGGAGCGAAAGCGUGGGGAGCGAACAGG